rnacentral:rRNA from 1 species
UCGGGAAUUUUGGGCAAUGGGCGAAAGCCUGACCCAGCAACGCCGCGUGAAGGAUGAAGUAUUUCGGUAUGUAAACUUCGAAAGAAUAGGAAGAAUAAAUGACGGUACUAUUUAUAAGGUCCGGCUAACUACGUGCCAGCAGCCGCGGUAAUACAGAGGGUGCGAGCGUUAAUCGGAAUUACUGGGCGUAAAGCGCGCGUAGGCGGUUUGUUAAGUCGGAUGUGAAAUCCCCGGGCUCAACCUGGGAACUGCAUUCAAAACUGACAAGCUAGAGUAUGGUAGAGGGUGGUGGAAUUUCCUGUGUAGCGGUGAAAUGCGUAGAUAUAGGAAGGAACACCAGUGGCGAAGGCGACCACCUGGACUGAUACUGACACUGAGGUGCGAAAGCGUGGGGAGCAAACAGGAUUAGAUACCCUUGUAGUCCCUGAGCGGGCUGGCAAGGCGCAU